rnacentral:rRNA from 1 species
AUUGAACGCUGGCGGCAUGCCUAACACAUGUAAGUCGAACGGCAGCACGACCUAGCUUGCUAGGUUGGUGGCGAGUGGCGCACGGGUGAGUAAUGCGUAGGAAUAUACCUUAAAGUGGGGGACAACCUGGGGAAACUCAGGCUAAUACCGCAUGAGCUCUAAGGAGGAAAGCUGGGGACCUUUCGGGGCCUGGCGCUUUAAGAAUAGCUUACGUCCGAUUAGUUAGUUGGUGGGGUAAAGGCUUACCAAGACGAUGAUCGGUAGCUGGUCUGAGAGGAUGAUCAGCCACACUGGGACUGAGACACGGCCCAGACUCCUACGGGAGGCAGCAGUGGGGAAUAUUGGACAAUGGGGGAAACCCUGAUCCAGCGAUGCCGCGUGUGUGAAGAAGGCCUGCGGGUUGUAAAGCACUUUCGGUGGGGAGGAGGACUUAUAGGUUAAGAGCUAAUGAGUUGGACGUUACCCACAUAAGAAGCACCGGCUAACUCCGUGCCAGCAGCCGCCGUAA